rnacentral:rRNA from 1 species
AUUGAACGCUGGCGGCAGGCCUAACACAUGCAAGUCGAGCGAGCGGCGGACGGGUGAGUAAUGUAUGGGGAUCUGCCCGAUAGAGGGGGAUAACUACUGGAAACGGUAGCUAAUACCGCAUACUAUCGGAUGAACCCAUACGGGAUUAGCUAGUAGGUGAGGUAAUGGCUCACCUAGGCGACGAUCCCUAGCUGGUCUGAGAGGAUGAUCAGACACCCUGGGACUGAGACACGGUCCAGACUCCGACGGGAGGCAGCAGUGGGGAAUAUUGCACAAGGGGCGAAAGCCUGAGGCAGCCAGGCGGGGUGUAGGAAGAAGGCCUUCGGGUUGUAAAGUACUUUCAGCGGGGAGGCGUGACCCGCAGAAGAAGCACCGGCUAACUCCGUGCCAGCAGCCGCGGUAAGUC